rnacentral:lncRNA from 1 species
AUGAUUUAGAAAUUAAUGUAAAGGGUCUUCCCUUCUUUUUGCCAAUGACAUAGGGGGAGAAAGAGUUGCUAAUGUGCAUAUCUCAAAGAGAAAAUUGCUAGCUUGCGUGUCUUAAAAUGUUGAAAUUUUUUUUGCUAGCUUGUAUAUUGUAAACUUGCUAUCGUACUACCAUGAUGAUGAGCAUGUCUUAUCUUCAUAAUCGUAUUUGAAAA